rnacentral:rRNA from 1 species
UAAUGCGUGACCAACCUCGCCCCAUGCUCCAGAAUAGCUCUUGGAAACGGGUGGUAAUGCUGGAUGCUCCAACUUGACGCAUGUCUUGUUGGGAAAGUGUUUAGUGGCAUGGGAUGGGGUCGCGUCCUAUCAGCUUGUAGGCGGGGUAAUGGCCCACCUAGGCUUCGACGGGUANGCCGGCCUGAGAGGGCGGAAGGCCACAUUGGGACUGAGAUACGGCCCAGACUCCUACGGGAGGCAGCAGCC